GUCUACGGCCCUACCACCCUGAACGCGCCCGGUCUUGUCUGAUCUCGGAAGCUAAGCAGGGUCGGGCCUGGUUAGUACUUGGAUGGGAAAUGUGGAAGCAGUGUUGUAUGUC
ensembl:rRNA 5S_rRNA 5S ribosomal RNA